rnacentral:rRNA from 1 species
UAAGACGAACCGUACGAACGUUAUUCGGAAUCACUGGGCUUAAAGGGUGCGUAGGCGGCGCGGAAAGUAGGGUGUGAAAUCCCUCGGCUCAACCGAGGAACUGCGCUCUAAACUACCGUGCUCGAGGGAGAUAGAGGUGAGCGGAACUUAGGGUGGAGCGGUGAAAUGCGUUGAUAUCCUAAGGAACACCGGUGGCGAAAGCGGCUCACUGGAUCUCUUCUGACGCUGAGGCACGAAAGCUAGGGUAGCGAACGGGAUUAGAUACCCCGGUAGUCCUAGCCGUAAACGAUGAGCACUGGGUUGGAGGGUCCUCCAUAGCCUUCCAACCGCAGCGAAAGUGUUAAGUGCUCCGCCUGGGGAGUAUGGUCGCAAGGCUG